CAAUAUUGAUUGUGACAUUAAAUAAAUGGGUUUGAUCUUCUCUUUUAAACACUCAAGGCUACAAGCAAUGUAAUCUCAAAGUAACAGAGGAAAAAUAGGCACAGGGAUAGGAAAUCUAGGCUUAUAUCUCAUUGCACCAGAAAAAUAGCCCAAUUGUCAUUUGAAACCUCUAUCUAUUCUCAUGUCAGCUCUCAUAUUCACUUUAAAUAUGGCUAGAUGUCUUAAACCUGAGGUCUUCCUGAUUUUUUUUGUGAAGGUUGUACCUUACUCAAGGGCACAUUAGUAGUGGCAGGUAGGUUUAAAUUCAGCUCACACUUGUCUUGCCAAUCUCUAUGCCUGCUUGGGCCUGUAUCUGUUUGAAUAAAGGAGUAUCUUUUUUUCUCAUUCACAUAAAGGCUGUAUAUGGAUUGGUUCUGUCCCUACUAAAGAACACCCUGCUGGCUCCCAAAGCAAAUGCAUUAGCUCUGCCUGGAGGAUCUUGAACAACUGUGAUACAUGUCUUCACUAUGAUACUCUAGCUAAAACUCUCUUUCUCUGUGUGAAGAAGAAAUUUCUCAAUUCAUGUUGAAGGCAAUUCUCAACUUCCUUUAACAGGGAAGAAAAGAGAAAGCAUCCCAACUUCAUAAAAAGGCUAUUGUUUAUGUUAAUUCUCUCUUUCUCUCAUAAAACUAAAAGUAAGUUUAGCUCCAAGACAAAAGAUGAUGUCAUUAGUCCCUUACGUGAAUUCUCAUCACCUGCUAAAUGGUUCUACUGACUCCCAGACACACUUUGUUAACUCCAUAGUUGACAGUUUUAUUCGGUCUCAGGAAAUUCUCAUUUACUUUCUCUAUGUUUCAAAAUCUGCCUACUCCGACCACCACCAUUUUUCAAAGCUCAGGGCAAAUUCUACCUCAUCCAAGAACCAUUUCAUUUUUGCUUCUUCAAUUCUAUAAUGUUCCUUCGCCCUCUCUGCUCAUCUCCAUAACACACACCCAAGCUGUAGCAAAAGACCAUACAUCAUACAUCUCAGAGCACAACAUCGUGUAUGUAGGGGUAGCAGCAGCAGCCUCAGUAGGAAGAGAGAUUGGGAGAAGAGGCAAAGCUGGCAGUAGCAGCAGCUUCAGGGCAAUGCCAUGGCAAUGAGGAGAUGAGGCAAUUGUCAUAAGGAACAGCAUUGCUUCAGUCCAUAGGUUCGCAGCAGAGACUGCUGCAGUGUCCAUGAACAAACAUGGGGAGUUCCUAAAUCCCUGUGAUAUGCCUGGUAGGAGAAAAUAACUCAAGGUGGCUAGGAGGAUAGCUUUCAUCUGGUGGGUACUCAUUGGGAAACUCUGUGGAGCAUCUACAGUCCUGCUGCUCUGUUUCUCAUAACCCCUAGCCUCAGGCUGAUGAACGAGGAGUCAUGGUAUAGAUCAUCACCAACAUGCCCAUAUUGCCUUUGUGCAGUUCUCUUACCCCCUCAAGCUCUUUCCUGCUUUAUUUUGCUGUGCGUUUAUUUUCUUCUCCCAUUUCCAUUCCUUUUUCUGGCACAAUAUUAUUCCUUUUCCCUAAUAACAGGUUUAGUCCUUGAAUGUGAGGAUGAUGUGGGUAAAACUUACUGGAGCCAAAAAAGCCCAAGCCCACCAAAUUAUUCUAUCCACCUUUAGGGGCAUAUGCCCUGAGGUUUUCUCUGUGUCUUUGCUCAUAUUAGUUCCUCUGCUUUAAUUUUGUUUUCUUCCAAUGUUACUUGCAUGACUGCUGGCAGCAUAUUUAAAUCAAAUGCUAACUGUUUCUUAAAGUACUUCCUGAAAUAAGAUUUUUUAUUUCCUUUUAACAUGCACAGACUUAGAAGCGACUUGAGGCAGGAUGGGAGCAUAAAAGACAACCAGGAUGCCAAAGUCUCCAAGCAGUGAGGAGGAGUCUAAGAACUUGGAAAGAUUCAUGGACCUCCUCCAGUAUGUGAAAGCCACCACUGUGGAGCAAGUGGGAAAGCAGUUGCUUGACUCUGAAGAUUCUGAGCUGUCCCAGCCUAUGUCCAUGAAGGAUUGUAAAGAGCCCUCAAUUCACCUGUGCUCUCCCAAGAGAGAGCUAGCACAUUAUGUGGUGGUGGCAACCCACCAUUUUUAGCACCAACUGCUGAAAGAUAGAAAAGAAAAGAAUUGAGGAUUCACAGAAAAGAGAAGACUUGAAGUGAGCCACAUCUUGGAUUCAUUCGAGGCCUCUGUGUUGCUCCACUUGAUGAAGCUGACUCCCUGGCAAUAUGACUGUGACUACACAGCUUGGAAUGAAGUAGGCUUUGGACCACUGGUAGGAGGAACUGCCUCCCAGAAACCAGAGACAUUCAAGAGGGGUUAGAUAACUAUGAGUUACAUUUGGCACCUACCAAAAAGUGCUGCUGAAAACGUGGGAUUCGGAGGCCAAGGAAUGAGGGGGUUUGAGAGUCCACACCGUCCAGUGCUGGGGAUUAUUUUGCUAACAUGUACUAUACACAAGCAGGAAUUUAACAAAUACUUGGCUGAUGAGCUCAUUAAGCAUUUUGUAUCCUCAUGAAUUGUGGAAACUAAAACUGGACUAAAAAUGUCAUUGUCAUUUAUGUAUUACAACACUGAGCCAACAAGUAAGUAGUUUUUGUUGGUAAGACAUCUUUUUUUUAAAAUGACAAGGAUAAAAAAAUAUUAGAAAUGACUCCAUCAUUAAGGGCUAUACCUUGGGAGAUAAGACAUACUGAUAAAGAAAUAAUAAUGUAAGUCAUAUUAGAUCAGUUCCAAACACAUUUGUUCCCCCACUCCUUCCGGAGACUUGAAAGGCAAAGCCUUACUCUUUUGAACUAGUUUCUCUUUUCUUUUAUCCCUCUUCUAUCAUCUCUCUACCAUCCUCAAUCUUCAGUGUUGAGUUGGAAAACUUAGAUCAUUUGUAAGUUCUCAUGAUAAUUUGGUUUGAGAAACACAGUGUAGGCAGCAAUUGUGGGGGAGGAACAGUCCCAGGGGAGUGGUAGUUGCUGGGUCUUUUACAGAAAGAGCAGGACUCUGAUAACUAGAUAUAGACGUGAUGGGUAUUUCAGGAAGGAGGAAGAACCUGAACAGAUCAUGUCUCAGGGAUGAAUGAGACCUGUUUUGCUGCAGUGAGUAGUGAACCCUG